UCGAACGAUGAAGCCCUUCGGGGUGGAUUAGUGGCGAACGGGUGAGUAACACGUGGGCAAUCUGCCCUUCACUCUGGGACAAGCCCUGGAAACGGGGUCUAAUACCGGAUAACACUUCUUCGGGCAUCUGAAGAGGUUAAAAGCUCCGGCGGUGAAGGAUGAGCCCGCGGCCUAUCAGCUUGUUGGUGGGGUAAUGGCCUACCAAGGCGACGACGGGUAGCCGGCCUGAGAGGGCGACCGGCCACACUGGGACUGAGACACGGCCCAGACUCCUACGGGAGGCAGCAGUGGGGAAUAUUGCACAAUGGGCGAAAGCCUGAUGCAGCGACGCCGCGUGAGGGAUGACGGCCUUCGGGUUGUAAACCUCUUUCAGCAGGGAAGAAGCGAAAGUGACGGUACCUGCAGAAGAAGCGCCGGCUAACUACGUGCCAGCAGCCGCGGUAAUACGUAGGGCGCAAGCGUUGUCCGGAAUUAUUGGGCGUAAAGAGCUCGUAGGCGGCUUGUCGCGUCGGAUGUGAAAGCCCGGGGCUUAACCCCGGGUCUGCAUUCGAUACGGGCAGGCUAGAGUGUGGUAGGGGAGAUCGGAAUUCCUGGUGUAGCGGUGAAAUGCGCAGAUAUCAAGAGGAACACCGGUGGCGAAGGCGGAUCUCUGGGCCAUUACUGACGCUGAGGAGCGAAAGCGUGGGGAGCGAACAGGAU
rnacentral:rRNA from 1 species